rnacentral:rRNA from 1 species
AACGAACGCUGGCGGCAGGCUUAACACAUGCAAGUCGAACGCCCCGCAAGGGGAGUGGCAGACGGGUGAGUAACGCGUGGGAAUCUACCCAGUUCUACGGAACAACAGUUGGAAACGACUGCUAAUACCGUAUACGCCCUAAGGGGGAAAGAUUUAUCGGAAUUGGAUGAGCCCGCGUUGGAUUAGCUAGUUGGUGGGGUAAUGGCAUACCAAGGCGACGAUCCAUAGCUGGUCUGAGAGGAUGAUCAGCCACACUGGGACUGAGACACGGCCCAGACUCCUACGGGAGGCAGCAGUGGGGAAUAUUGGACAAUGGGCGCAAGCCUGAUCCAGCCAUGCCGCGUGAGUGAUGAAGGCCUUAGGGUUGUAAAGCUCUUUCAGUAGGGAAGAUAAUGACGGUACCUACAGAAGAAGCCCCGGCUAACUUCGUGCCAGCCGCCGCUGUAACAC